UACGUAGGGGGCAAGCGUUGUCCGGAAUCAUUGGGCGUAAAGAGCGCGUAGGCGGCCCUGUAAGUCCGCUGUGAAAGUCAAGGGCUCAACCCUUGAAUGCCGGUGGAUACUGCCGGGCUCGAGUCCGGAAGAGGCGAGUGGAAUUCCUGUGUAGCGGUGGAAUGCGCAGAUAUCAGGAGGAACACCAAUAGCGAAGGCAGCUCGCUGGGACGGUACUGACGCUAAGGCGCGAAAGCGUGGGGAGCGAACAGG
rnacentral:rRNA from 1 species